rnacentral:rRNA from 1 species
UGAGGAAUAUUGGUCAAUGGACGUAAGUCUGAACCAGCCAAGUAGCGUGCAGGAUUGACGGCCCUAUGGGUUGUAAACUGCUUUUGUUGGGGAGUAAAGUGGGGCACGCGUGCCUUUUUGCAUUUACCCUUCGAAUAAGGACCGGCUAAUUCCGUGCCAGCAGCCGCGGUAAUACGGAAGGUCCAGGCGUUAUCCGGAUUUAUUGGGUUUAAAGGGAGUGUAGGCGGUCUGUUAAGCGUGUUGUGAAAUUUAGGUGCUCAACAUCUACCUUGCAGCGCGAACUGGCGGACUUGAGUGCACGCAACGUAUGCGGAAUUCAUGGUGUAGCGGUGAAAUGCUUAGAUAUCAUGACGAACUCCGAUUGCGAAGGCAGCGUACGGGAGUGUUACUGACGCUUAAGCUCGAAGGUGCGGGUAUCGAACAGGAUUAGAUACCCUGGUAGUCCGCACGGUAAACGAUGGAUGCCCGCUGUUAGCGCCUGGCGUUAGCGGCUAAGCGAAAGCAUUAAGCAUCCCACCUGGGGAGUACGCCGGCAACGGU